UCUGGAAGAAAAACAAAACAAAACAUCAAGUGUCAGGAGGAGGGAGGAACGAUGAAGCCCCACAAGGCAGCAUCUUCACUGAGUGGAGACGCCCCACCCCUCAUGAACGCAGAGCAAAUGACAGACCAGGGAUUCUGAGGACCACAGUCAGAAACACAACACCGGUUCUUCCCAGUGUGAAUCCACCAGCUACAUAACAGACAACGUUGCCCUUGGUCUAGAAGGCAGCAUGUCUAAAUCAACAUGCCCCAGGACAUGUAUGGGAAGCAUGGGAUGCACAGUGGCCUUCAUUUAUAAAGAUGUAGUGGGCAGUAAAAUGUCUGUCCAUCUAAAUACAUGAUUAAACUCAGGCCAUUCAAAGUCAGAGUUUUAGAGCUGGAGGGAGGGACAGGAGAGAGAAAAACCUGAUGACAGACAUUCUAGAAUCUUCUUAUGACCCAGUGUGGAAAACCUACACUGAGAGUUUGUCAGUGAAAGGCCAUUUGAGCCAGAGUCAAGGAGGGGACAGGGAGGUCACACCAUGUAGUGUUGAGCUGCGUGGCACGAAUUGCUGACGUGGGAGAGGAUUUCUAGGCGCACACUCAGUACGUGAUGCUGCCAUGCAGUUUUCAGUAGCAGGACAACGGUCCAGGCUGACCCAUCACGUUUCUCUGGACUCAGGUGCUGAGCAGGUUCACAAAGUUCCCAGGACUCUCCAGCAGCACAACCUUUCUGGGAGGGGCUAUUGGGGACAUGGGUACUUUUUCUUGAUAUGUAUUCACUUCAAAUGGAGGCUAAGUCUUUACCCUGUUGCCAAACUCAGGGUUUACAUAUUUUUCAGUAUUUGUAAAUUCUAGACUAGUUCCUAGUCUCCAAAUCAUAUAUCUGGUGACAGGACUUCAGUGUCAGACAGACCUCUGCUCAAAGCCCCAGCCCUGUCCUGUUUCCUCUCUUCCCAGCACCUAUACAUGCAGGAAGAACAGUAAUUACCUUCCUGAAGAGCUGCAGGAACACAGUGAGGCGUGCACACAAAGUGCAGCCCCUGACGCACGGUGAGUACUCAGUCUGGGAAGGCCGUGGCCACUGCAGUGCUAUCCAGAUGUGUGUGCUGUAUUCCAGAUGCUAAGCUCGCAUGGACGUAAACACCACGGCAUGUUUACUAAAAGCACGGCUUUAUAGUUACAUGCCAUUUGGUGUGAUCAUUCUCACUAUUUUAUGGAAUCUGUAGGUAAGCUGUCUGGAUUCCCUACACCCAUUUGCUAAUCUUUGCAUAGCUAGGCAGCCACUCUACCAUUGAGCCUCAAUAACAGCCUAUUUCCCCGUCUCUUUCUUGUGUUAGACAAACGUGAUAACCACUGCUCACAGAAACCUGCCGGCGAGACGCUCAUCUUGAGCACACACAUGGGCACUGUCUCUCCCUAGCGCUUGGUCUGCACUGUGCUUUGGUCAUACAUAAGUCACUGGAAGGAACCAGAAUUGACAAACAGCCAGUAGCAGUCAGGAUAUAGCCUCAGAUGCGCGACGCUCAGGACAGGGCCCUGUGCCCUCACGCUGUGGAGAUGGAAACCCAGAGUCCACAAUUAUGCAAUAAAUAGGUUCCCAGCUUGAGUCAUUUCUGUGUGGAAUAUGUACCUCUAUCGACUAUGUGUCAGUGAAGGCCAUGCUGCGGAGGUCAAUGGGUCACUCCUGUUUAAAGACGCCCUUGAAAGAAAGAUUUGAAGACUGAGUGCGUUAAAUCUGGACAUAAAUAUACUGAGCAUAGCUCACAGCUGCCGCACGGCACUUUCCCCCGCCCGCAAGGUGGUGAAGGCUCAUUCUGGCCACACUUCCCAACACAAAACCGCAUGUCCUCCAUGGAGUUCGCGCUUGCUUCCCUUGUUCCUUUGACCAGAGAGUAAAUUUUCACGCUAUGGGUUGCAGGGUCACCCUUCUAAGCAGGGCCUCUGUGUAAACGGUAUUCCCUGGAGAAGAGUCUACCUCUCCUGGAACCUCGUCCUGAAUUCCUGCUGCUCUCAUGUGCAAGCACUCUGUUGUAAUGCUACAAUGCUCCAGUGCGGUGCCACAGACAACUGGGAAAUUAUUACAAGUAACCUAUCGGACACUCAGGGAGCUAGGUCUGACUGCUACUUAGAUGUUAGAAUAGAACUGAGAUUAUGCCUCUAAUAAAGCUCUCACUAACCUCCCAGUAGCUUCCUCAGGGCUGGGUAGCCAGUACACCAGGGGUGAGAACAGCCAGUGAUGUGGCUUAGAGAGCCUGUUCCCAGUGCUGCCAUAUUUAUCAUUCGCCCCUCAACACUGAGUGUGGCAAGCUGGGUGCAGGGUCCUCAUCCCAGAUGUGAGACAGGCCUGACUGCAUGGCUGUGUCUGCUCUCUGCACUGUGUACAUGGGUGCUGCCCCACACUACCGAGGCAUGUCUGCACUGUGGAAGAAGAAACUGAAAACCAUUUUGACUGAUAAGAUUAUUUCUAAUCUCAUAAAUCCUUACAGAACGCUAAUAGGCAGUUGUUGGCACUAAAAGCUGAGUUGUUUAUUAUUAUUUAUUAUUAUUAUUGUGCGUUCAGGAGCAUCUGCCCUUAUAGGCUCUACUGAGAGAAACUCAGAGAUGCCUCUGGUAAAGGGGCCAGGGUGGUUUAAGCACCUGGUAAUUGGACUUCUGUAGAAAGUCCCCAGGAUGCUAACAGCAGCUGGAAAGCACAGCAAGUUUGUGAACGCGUUAUCUGAAUGGGAAGAGUGCCUUCCAUUUGCAGUUGGUUAUGUGUUAGGUACCAAAGCACUGGGAAUAAUCUUCACAAUGGCAGAAAUGAUGCCCACCACUCAACACAGGAGAAACCAGAGCUGAAGGGGUAGCUUGCUAAGUGGCUGGCUGCCUACUCAUACCCAGGACUCUCCCAUGGCCACUGUGGUUCUGUGAACUACAGUGACUACAAUGACAAAGCGCCCCUAAGCCUUUCGAGCGUGACUUAAAUCCAGAACACACACUUGGACAUUUUAGCCUGAUGAUCCCUAGUGUUCACCAAUGGUCAGUCUCAUCCGCUUCUGUAGGUGAGGAUUAUACUUCACCUCCUUGAAGUUAGACAUCCACGUGACUUAUGGGUGGACAGAAGAAACAGGUCAUAUCCAAGUAUUUAAUCACAUACGUCCGACUCUCUAGGCCAGUCUGUAGGGGAAUCUUGGAACCUGUGGCCUCAGUGGUGCCUCAGGGACAAAGCAAGCAGAAGGUGCCAUUAGGUCAGGGAGGGGAGCCUCCCGAGAGAUCAGCUUCACUCCAUGGAUUCUGUAGGAGUGAAAACUACAUUGUCAAGGCACGGAGUUGGAGGAUGCUUGUGUGUGUAUAUGUGCAUGAGUGUAUACAUGCAUGAGGGUGGAGGCCAGAGGCCAAUCUCAGGUAUCGUUCGAGAGCUGUCUGCCUUGGUUUUUGAGGCAGGGUCUCUGGCCAGGACCUGAGGAUUGCUGGGUACAACAGGUGAAUUGCUAGGGAGCCCCAGAGAUUUGCUUGUCUCUUCCCAAUGUUAGAGAUUCUGGGGACUGAGCUCAGGUCUUCAUGCUUAUACAGUAAAGCACUUCCUGGUAUCAACCCCCUUCCCUACCCACCAGAUUGUUUUGAUCAUAGCACAGCCCAGUCUAUGCUGGCUGAAUCAGGAAGAGAACUACUGACAUAGGUAUCUCUGGGGCCCAUCACUAAAACAUCAGUUUGCCUGACAGAAGACUAAAGAAAAGCUGGAGGCUGGAUGAGAGGAGACAGACACCCUAGCUCCCCAAGAUGUGAACAUUCCAUCUCCUGAAGUCAGCCCACCAUUUGGUGCCUUUACAUUACCACUUCCUGGGGAGUCAGAACAUCUCUCCAGCUUUCCAAUGAGUAAGUUUAGGAGUUCUGAUCAACAAGGGUCAUUUUUAUCUAUCUAUCUAUCCUUCCAUUUAUUCAUUUUAAAUGGGAAGAUUGUUGUCUGGUGUCUACUUGAUAAUAUUCACUAAUCAGCUUUGGCUUGGUUCAGAGAGCAGGCACUGACAGCCUGGAGAUGGAAGGAUCCAGGGAUGAGGUAUCCAGAGUUACCUCACUGCUCAGUGGCAUUAGGAAAGCUAACAGGAGGCUUCCCGAAUUGCUGUUAUUAGCCUUAUUUAGGUAAAGGGCAGAGAAGUAUCUUUGUUUUCUCCUAAGCCAUUUCUGCAUCCCACCCAUAAAGUCCAGAAUCUUCAUGAAGACAACUUAGAAAUAAAAAGUGAACAUGUAACUUUCUGAGAAAUACAAUCUCACUGAGGCUUACUGAAAUGCCAGGUCUCAGGACACAGUUCAGAAGCUUCGGUUUCUGUCACAGAAGGUAACUGAGCAGCAGGGUCACUCACUCAGGUCAAGGCCACCGUCAGCCUAAUGUCUACAGUACAGACAAACCCUUGAACAGCAAUUAUAUCUGAAAAUUGUAGGGCUGCCUUCCAGCACUUUCUGAGCAUGAGGGACCCUAGAAGUAGGGAAGGGGAUAAAGAGUGAGGGCGUUAUAAAGAUCAUACCGGACUUGAAUAGGAGGGCUCUGUUUCAUUCUCCCUGCAGAUGGCAUCCACCUUUUGGCUCUCCCCUUACUGUUCUACAGUAUAUGGACUUAUUUUUAUGGAGUAUAAGUCUGAUUUGAGGUAGUUGUGUUGAGAUGGAAAAUCAUGAGCCAUCUGGGCCUCCUCUGUAGGGCUCAGACCCGCCCAGCAAGAACCAUUUGUAAUGUGUAUCUCCAUUUAACAAGACAACAGGUUCCCAGCAGUUCUCAAAGGCUUUUACUAAACCGGGCUUCAUUUGUAUAACUGCAAUCCCAGGAUGCUCUGUAUCCUUGCUAAGCCAAUGGCAGCACCUGUUCUGUGCAGCCAAUCAGUCCUUCCUAUAGCCAAAGUACCAUGGCGGAUGUUAACCUGAGUCUGCUACACAAGAAUAAUGGACCAAUUCUCCUCACCCCCCACCCCCAUCUCCUCUCCCUCCUGACUUUUCUCUCCCACUUGCUUUUCAAACAGCUGCAGUCUCCAUUUCAUGAUGUCUUAAAAAAAAGAUUUUUAAGUGUGUUGGCUGCACGUAUGUGUUGUACCAUGUGGGCUCUGGGAACUUAACCUGGACCCUUGCAAGAACAGUAAGCCCUAUCCUUCUUCCUUCCUGUUCCCUUUAUCAAUGUCUUGAUAGUUCAGCUGGCAGUCUGUCCGAGACAAUGAAGGCAGUCUCAAAAUGUAUCACAUAAAAACCUGUGUACAUAUUUUUACUUUUAAAUGUAGGAGUUACUUUCUAAAAUGGCAUGUGAGCGGAUAUGCAUGUGAGCCACCCAGAUGGAUUAGGACAGUACACACACUUAUGAAAGUUAGCCGUUUCCUUCAUGUCACACCAACAGGCAAAAACCAGUACUUCUAACACCAAGAAUACCUUUAAUGCCGGCACCCAGAAACUGUGAAAAAGCAAAGUCACCCAGCCUCUGGAUGCUACACAACAGGAGACCUAAACAAGAGACCCUCCAGCUUUCGGAACCCCCGCUUCACCCCACACUUGGCCGUGCACUGCGUUUUCUGUCUUCGGUAUCUUUAGAAGGGUGACUUAAAACUUAAUAUCUUUCUGGAUUUUCCAAAUAGUCUCUGCGCUCUUUACCAUCUGGGCCUCCUCUGUAGGGCUCAGCUUUACCUUUAUGAUAUCAGAUAUGCCACUCUCUCCCAGGAUACAAGGCACGCUGAGGAACACCUCCUCUUUGAUUCCGUAGAGACCUUGGAUUUUGGUGGUAACUGGAUGCGUCUUCCUGAGAUUCUUCAGGAUACUCUCUGCAAUAUCAGUUACAGACAGGCCAAUGGCCCAGGAAGUAUAACCUUUCAUUUUGAUAAUAUUAUAGGCACUGGCAAUGACUUCUUUGUGGACAUCGCCCCAUUUCUCGGGGUCUUUGCUUGUUCCUAUAGCUGAAUUCAGCUCUCUCAGCGGCACGCCGGCGAUGUUCACACCACUCCACACAGGGACACUUGAAUCUCCAUGCUCUCCAAGGACCCACCCGUGGCAGCUUUCAGAGUGGAUCCCAAGCCUCUGCCCGAGCAUGUAACGGAAGCGAGCUGUAUCUAGGUUACAGCCGCUUCCAAUAAUACGGUUUUUGGGAAACCCACUCAACUUCCAGGUUACGAAAGUUAAGAUAUCCACUGGAUUGGAGACAACAAUAAUUUUGCAGCGAGGGCUGUGCUUGAUAAUUUCCGCAACCAUUGCCUUAAAGAUGGUUACGUUUCGCUGGACUAAAUUCAGGCGUGUCUCAUUUUUCUCUUGGCGUGCACCCGCUGUGAUAAUCACUACCUCAGAGUUGGCAGUGACACGGAAAUCCUUGCUGCAAACAAUAUUUGGCAUUUUCAUGAAGACACUGCCGUGCUGAAGAUCCAUCGUCUCACCCUUCAUUUUUUCUUCAUUAUUAUCAACAAGGGCGAGCUCGUCAGUCAAGCCUUUCGCUAUGAUGCCGAUGGCACAGGCCAUGCCGACUGAUCCAGUUCCUACAAUGGAGACCUUGUUGUGGAGAACGGGCUCUUCGGAGCUGAUGUGCUGGAUAAGUUCACCCUUCACGGUCGCCAUGGAGGACGUGGGCGUGAGGCUCCACCAGGCCCGGUUGGGAGGGACACGUUGCACCUGACUGGGCCAUAGAGCUAUGCCAAAGCCCUUGAAAUCUACCCUGGUUGUACUCACUCUUCUGCUGGCUCUCAAGAUGCUUGUAGCCCAGGCCAUGGCUGCGCACUCAGGUGGAGGAAGUGAACAGGGUGAGGAAGACAGUUGAGGCCACAACGGCGGCCGUUGCUAGGCAGUACAGACGCGGCCCUCCCUCCCACUGCGGCUGCGCAGUUCCCUAACUGUGCUGCAUGGGCUUAGCGCACAGACUGGGUCUUCUUGCUCCUACACCUGCAAGCCUGCACCAUGGCUUUAUAAAGCGCUUCCAUUUCCAGCAAGGACAUACUGUAGUUUGUUUUACAAACCCAUAUUCUUUACUAUUGCUAUAUAAAGCCCAACCCAGAACCCUUGAAGUAUUUGUUUGCUGUUCUUAGGGUACAUAGCAAGAAGAUUGGUUCUGGCAACUCCAGAUAAAAAUGAGGCUAAAAUCUUGAACCACAACAAGGAGGGCUGUGCUGUCUGUCAAGAGGCAGUUUGGCUGGAGAAAUGGGCUCUUGGUUCGGUGUAUCCAGCAGGAGAACCGUUUGUUAAGGAAGGAUUUUUAUCUGUAUCCUAACCAUGGUGCAUACCCGUGAAAGGCAGCAGGAAGGAGGGGCAAUCUGGUCUACACCGGAAGAGCACGCCCCUUCUUUCUCAGGCCAAAGGAAAGCCUGGGAUUGCAUGCAAAUUAAACAGCAAAAUGGCUCAGUGGUUAAGAGCGCCUAGCGCCCUGUAGAGGAUCCUGAUUGGUUUCUCAGGACCCCACAUCACGUGGCUCACAGUUGUCUUUAGCUCCAACUUCAGAGACACUGGAUAGCCUCUGUGGGCACAUAGUCCACAUGGUAACAGAAAUUCCACGGUCUCUCACACACAUUCACAUAAACAAAUAUAUAUAUACAUACACCACACAAAUCAAAACAAUAAUCUUUCCCUAAGCCCUCCAAUUUCUUAUGGAAAAAGAUGGCCCUUAACCCUCUAUAAAAUGAAGGUAUCUUUGAAAUGACAUUUUAACAUUUAGCCGAUGGUUACAUUAGAUUCUUACUGAAAUAGUGAAAUAAAGUUCCCUGGCAAACCUG